rnacentral:rRNA from 1 species
CAGGUUAGUUUUACCCUACUGAUGGAGGGUCGUCGUAAUAGUAAUUGAACUUAGUACGAGAGGAACCGUUCAUUCAGAUAUUUGGUAUUUGCGCCUGUCCGAGCGGGCAAUGGCGCGAAGCUAUCAUCUGCUGGAUUAUGGCUGAACGCCUCUAAGUCAGAAUCCAUGCCAGAACGGGGUGAUUUCCGCCUGCACCAGUCGGAU